UGUUAAGAUACACAGAAGCCUAAUAGAGAUAAGAUUAGCUGUUGAAAACAAAAUCUCUCCAAUGUAUUGGCUAGAGCAGAAACUGGCUACAUGGUACAGUCAAAAAGUAGAAGGAUAUAGCUACAGUAUUAAGUCAGCUGAAGAUUUCAUAAAUAAACUCUCGAAAGUUGGACCUUUACCAGAAGAAAGGCUAGCAUUUUAUAACUUCCGGACAUUGUAUCUCUCUAUCAUUUUUGAACUUUCAAGUAUAGAAUUGUCCUAUGCAAAAUUACGGAUAUAGUAAGAAAAUAGAAAGAAAUUGAGAAAGGAAAGAG
rnacentral:lncRNA from 1 species